AGGUUGAAGAGCUUGCAGAAUCUCUGUGCCACGCUUGCCAAGGUUCUUGCAUCCCUCAUCUGUCAUAGAGAAAGUGGUGGAGAUAAAAUUGUGCCAGCAGCACCUUGUCAAACCCCUGCUACAGGCAUCCAUUGUGAGUCAUGGGAUAAAGGAUAAGAGAGCAGCCAGAGGCUUCAGCAUCAUAUGUCUGAGUUCUGCAGAAAGGACCAGGCCCAGAAGACUCCUGGCUUCCACACAUACCCAUGAAUCACCUGAUUAAGGCCCACUCUCAGGAUUAUUCCCCUAUCAAUGCACUGAAUCUACUUUCAACCAAGGUACCAAAAACUUCAUUGCUCAAUCUAAUAAACUCCUUUCAAUGAA
rnacentral:lncRNA from 10 species